AGAAUCAACGCUGGCGGCGUGCCUAACACAUGCAAGUCGAACGAGAAAGGGUAGCAAUACCUGAGUAAAGUGGCGCACGGGUGAGUAACACGUGACUAACCUACCUUUUAGUGGGGGAUAACCUAGGGAAACCUGGGCUAAUACCGCAUAAUACCUACGGGUCAAAGCAGUAAUGCGCUGGAAGAGGGGGUCGCGGCCGAUUAGCUAGUUGGCGGGGUAAUGGCCCACCAAGGCAGUGAUCGGUAUCCGGCCUGAGAGGGCGCACGGACACACUGGAACUGAAACACGGUCCAGACUCCUACGGGAGGCAGCAGUGGGGAAUUUUGCGCAAUGGGGGAACCCUGACGCAGCAACGCCGCGUGGAGGAUGAAGACCCUUGGGUCGUAAACUCCUUUCGAUCGGGACGAUAAUGACGGUACCGGAAGAAGAAGCCCCGGCUAACUUCGCGCCAGCAGCCGC
rnacentral:rRNA from 1 species